UACGAAGGGGGCUAGCGUUGUUCGGAAUUACUGGGCGCAAAGCGCGCGCAGGCGGCUAUCCAAGUCAGUGGUGAAAGCCCGGAGCUCAACUCCGGAACUGCCAUUGAAACUGUUUAGCUUGAGGACGAGAGAGGUGAGUGGAAUUCCCAGUGUAGAGGUGAAAUUCGUAGAUAUUGGGAAGAACACCGGUGGCGAAGGCGGCUCACUGGCUCGUAUCUGACGCUCAGGCGCGACAGCGUGGGGAUCAAACAGG
rnacentral:rRNA from 1 species